rnacentral:rRNA from 1 species
UAAAAGACGAGAAGACCCUAUAAAUUUUUAUAAUUUCAUUAUUUAAGAAAUUUUUAUUUAAAUAAUUAAAUAAAUAAAAUUAUUUUAUUGGGGCGAUAAAAAAAUUAAUUAAACUUUUUUAAAUAAAUUUAUUUUAAUUAAAAUUUUAUUUUAAAAGAGUUAUUAUUAAUAAUUAAAAGAAUAAAAUACUUUAGGGAUAACAGCGUAAUUUUAAUUUUAAGUACAUAUUAAAAUUAGAGUUUGCGACCUCGAUGUUGGAUUAAAAUUUAAUUUAAAUGCAAAAGUUUAAAUUUUAAGUCUGUUCGACUUUUGAAAUUUUACAUGAUCUGAGUUCAAACCGGUGUGAGCCAGGUUGGUUUCUAUCUUUAUUAAAAAUUAAAUAUUUUAGUACGAAAGGAAUUAAUAUUUAAAAUAAAUUUUUAUAAAUAAGAUUACAUCUAAUAAUUUAAAU